rnacentral:rRNA from 1 species
AUUUUGAGUUUGAUCCUGGCUCAGGAUUAACGCUUCAGAUGUACAUUAUACAUGCAAGUUUAACGUAUCUUUACGUAGCGAACGGGUGAGUAAUUACAGAGCGUCCGUUCGAAUUUAUUAAGAAUUGCCUUUGAAGCUUUUG